AUACAUGCAAGUAGAACGCUGAACUGGUGCUUGCACCGAGCGGAAGAGUUGCGAACGGGUGAGUAACGCGUAGGUAACCUGCCUCUUAGCGGGGGAUAACUAUUGGAAACGAUAGCUAAUACCGCAUAACAAUGGAUGACACAUGUCAUUUAUUUGAAAGGGGCAAUUGCUCCACUACAAGAUGGACCUGCGUUGUAUUAGCUAGUAGGUGAGGUAACGGCUCACCUAGGCGACGAUACAUAGCCGACCUGAGAGGGUGAUCGGCCACACUGGGACUGAGACACGGCCCAGACUCCUACGGGAGGCAGCAGUAGGGAAUCUUCGGCAAUGGGGGCAACCCUGACCGAGCAACGCCGCGUGAGUGAAGAAGGUUUUCGGAUCGUAAAGCUCUGUUGUAAGUCAAGAACGAGUGUGAGAGUGGAAAGUUCACACUGUGACGGUAGCUUACCAGAAAGGGACGGCUAACUACGUGCCAGCAGCCGCGGUAAUACGUAGGUCCCGAGCGUUGUCCGGAUUUAUUGGGCGUAAAGCGAGCGCAGGCGGUUUGAUAAGUCUGAAGUUAAAGGCUGUGGCUCAACCAUAGUUCGCUUUGGAAACUGUCAAACUUGAGUGCAGAAGGGGAGAGUGGAAUUCCAUGUGUAGCGGUGAAAUGCGU
rnacentral:rRNA from 1 species